rnacentral:misc_RNA from 1 species
GUAUUUUGAAUUGUUUUAUUCAUAAUAUUUUUCAGACAAAGAGUUGAGAUAUAGUUGAUGUUUGGCCGAUCUCCAUAAAGAAGAUCGACUGACAUUGCACACAAGGUGGAUAUGGAUUUAAAAAGUGCCAUAAAACACUUAUUAUGAAUGAUCCUUCCGCAGGUUCACCUACGGAAA